rnacentral:rRNA from 1 species
GCGGACGGGUGAGUAAUGUCUGGGAAACUGCCUGAUGGAGGGGGAUAACUACUGGAAACGGUAGCUAAUACCGCAUAACGUCGCAAGACCAAAGAGGGGGACCUUCGGGCCUCUUGCCAUCGGAUGUGCCCAGAUGGGAUUAGCUAGUAGGUGGGGUAACGGCUCACCUAGGCGACGAUCCCUAGCUGGUCUGAGAGGAUGACCAGCCACACUGGAACUGAGACACGGUCCAGACUCCUACGGGAGGCAGCAGUGGGGAAUAUUGCACAAUGGGCGCAAGCCUGAUGCAGCCAUGCCGCGUGUAUGAAGAAGGCCUUCGGGUUGUAAAGUACUUUCAGCGGGGAGGAAGGGAGUAAAGUUAAUACCUUUGCUCAUUGACGUUACCCGCAGAAGAAGCACCGGCUAACUCCGUGCCAGCAGCCGCGGUAAUACGGAG